GACGAACGCUGGCGGCGUGCCUAACACAUGCAAGUCGAACGGGACUUGCCCCCUUCGGGGACAAGUUUAGUGGCGGACGGGUGAGUAACGCGUGAGGAACCUGCCUUGGAGUGGGGAAUAACACAGUGAAAAUUGUGCUAAUACCGCAUAAUGCAGUUGGGUCGCAUGACUCUGACUGCCAAAGAUUUAUCGCUCUGAGAUGGCCUCGCGUCUGAUUAGCUAGUUGGUGGGGUAACGGCCCACCAAGGCGACGAUCAGUAGCCGGACUGAGAGGUUGGCCGGCCACAUUGGGACUGAGACACGGCCCAGACUCCUACGGGAGGCAGCAGUGGGGAAUAUUGGGCAAUGGGCGCAAGCCUGACCCAGCAACGCCGCGUGAAGGAAGAAGGC
rnacentral:rRNA from 1 species